rnacentral:tRNA from 1 species
UAGCUCAGUUGGUAGAGUGUUUGUCUUGUAUGCACAAGGCCCUGGGUUCAAUCCCCAG